GACAGAGGCCUCGAGCGUUAGGCGGAAUCACUGGGCGUAAAGGGUGCGUAGGCGGGUCUUUAAGUCAGGGGUGAAAUCCUGGAGCUCAACUCCAGAACUGCCUUUGAUACUGAAGAUCUUGAGUUCGGGAGAGGUGAGUGGAACUGCGAGUGUAGAGGUGAAAUUCGUAGAUAUUCGCAAGAACACCAGUGGCGAAGGCGGCUCACUGGCCCGAUACUGACGCUGAGGCACGAAAGCGUGGGGAGCAAACAGG
rnacentral:rRNA from 1 species